GACGAACGCUGGCGGCGUGCUUAACACAUGCAAGUCGAACGGAAAGGCCCUGCUUUUGUGGGGUGCUCGAGUGGCGAACGGGUGAGUAACACGUGAGUAACCUGCCCUUGACUUUGGGGUAACUUCAGGAAACUGGGGCUAAUACCGGAUAGGAGCUCCUGCUGCAUGGUGGGGGUUGGAAAGUUUCGGCGGUUGGGGAUGGACUCGCGGCUUAUCAGCUUGUUGGUGGGGUAGUGGCUUACCAAGGCUUUGACGGGUAGCCGGCCUGAGAGGGUGACCGGCCACAUUGGGACUGAGAUACGGCCCAGACUCCUACGGGAGGCAGCAGUGGGGAAUAUUGCACAAUGGGCGGAAGCCUGAUGCAGCAACGCCGCGUGCGGGAUGACGGCCUUCGGGUUGUAAACCGCUUUCGCCUGUGACGAAGCGUGAGUGACGGUAAUGGGUAAAGAAGCACCGACUAACUACGUG
rnacentral:rRNA from 1 species